rnacentral:misc_RNA from 1 species
ACAAGCCCAUCAAGAUAAGUGACAAAUGACAAUGGCGCUUAGUACUCAGCGUCUUUUAUUUUAUUGACAUUAUUUUUGAUAUAUUAUACUACUCAAUUUAUGGUGAUUAUUAAUAUAAAUUGUCUAAUAAUUAAAAUACCAUCAUGUCAAAAAAUAAAGUGACACCAGAAUGGAAAAAACGAGUGAAAUCAGAGUACAUGAGAUUACGACAAAUGAAAAGAUACAAACGUGCUGAUGAAGUUAAAAUUGCAUGGAAUCAGAAUAGAAAAUCUAUGACUGAUUUAUUAACAACUGAGGAAAAAAGAUGGGCUGAUGGAAAAGCAAUGUGGCUUGCAAUGCAUGAAAUACCAUCUCAUGUAUCAUGCAUGAAAAAAGCUGAAAUAUCAAGUUCUGAAAAUGAAAUACAAAAUUGUCCAAUUAAAGUUUUAAAUGCUGUUACACCAAUACCAACAAUGUACACCUGGGCACCAAUACAACAAAAUUUUAUGGUUGAAGAUGAGACUGUAUUGCACAAUAUUCCAUACAUGGGUGAUGAAAUAUUGGAUCAAGAUGGUACAUUUAUUGAGGAAUUGAUUAAAAAUUACGAUGGAAAAGUUCAUGGUGACAGAGAUUCAGGAUUUAUGGAUGAUUCAAUAUUUGUUGAUUUAGUAAAUGCAUUAAUGAUUUCGGAAAAAGAAGAAAAAGAUCGUGAAUUAACAGCUAAAAAAACAAGAGAUCUAACAAAUAAUAAAGAUGACAAAGAAAAAGAAAGACGAGAUCCUGACUCAAAGCCAAUUGUUAAAAUUGAAAAAAUUGAUGAUAUAUUAGCUGGUAAAAAUACACCACCUCCAAAAGUUCCAUCAAUGCAAAUAUUCAGUGCAAUAUCAUGCAUGUUUCCAGACAAAGGAAGACCAGAAGAACUUCGUGAAAAAUAUAUUGAAUUAACAACACGUUCUGAUCCAAAUGUAUUACCACCAGAAUGUACACCAAAUAUUGAUGGUGUAUGUGCUAAAAAUGUACCAAGAGAACAAACAAUGCACUCAUUUCACACAUUGUUUUGUCGUCGAUGUUUUAAAUAUGAUUGUUUUCUUCAUCCUCGCAGGGAAAUAUUAUCAGAAGGGCUUCAAGUUUGUCACCCAGGACCAAAUUUACAAAAACGUAAAGGACCAGAUUUAAAGCCAUUUUCUGAACCUUGUGGUAUUGAGUGUUACAUGCAUUUGGAAGGAGUUAAAGAAAAACUUGCAGCUGAGGCAGCUGAUACAAAAGAUGAUGAAGGUGAUGAAAAACGAGGACCUCGUAAAGUACGUAAACAAGCAAGUGUUGAUUCUGGCAAUGAGGCUAGUAGUGAAGACAGUAAUGACAGUAAUAAAUUUAGUCAAGGUGGAAGUUGUCAAGACUUCAAACAAAAUGUAAAUCAUGACUUAAAACCAGAAGACAUGGAAGAAGAUGAAGAAGAAGAACAAGCACAACCACAACCAGAUCAUCAAAGUCCAUUUACAUUACUUGGUCUUGUACCACGUACUAAAACAGAAAGUGAAUAUUCAUGGACUGGAUCUGAGCAGAGUUUAUUUCGUUCACUUCAUAAAGCAUUUCCUGGUAAUCCAUGUGCACUUGCACAAAUAAUGUUAACAAAAACAUGCAAAGAAGUUUAUGAAUUUACACAAAAAGAAUCACAUGAUAUACCAGCAAUUGAAAGUAUGAAAGAUUUUACACCACCACGUAAAAAGAAAAAGAAGCAUCGUUUAUGGUCAAUGCAUUGUCGUAAAAUACAAUUAAAAAAAGAUUCUGGUGCAAAUCAUGUACAUAAUUUUGCACCAUGUGAUCAUCCUGGACGUCCAUGUGAUAAUUCAUGUCCAUGUAUACAGGCACAAAAUUUUUGUGAAAAAUUUUGUCAAUGUAGCAGUGAAUGUCAAAAUAGAUUUCCUGGUUGUCGUUGUAAAGCACAAUGUAAUACAAAACAAUGUCCAUGUUAUCUUGCUGUACGUGAAUGUGAUCCAGAUCUUUGUCAAACAUGUGGUGCUGAUCAAUUUCAUAUAACUAAAAUAUCAUGUAAAAAUGUUAGUGUACAACGUGGUUUACAUAAACAUUUAUUAAUGGCACCAUCUGAUGUUGCUGGUUGGGGUAUAUUUUUAAAAGAAUCUGCUGGUAAAAAUGAAUUUAUAUCGGAAUAUUGUGGUGAAAUUAUAAGUCAAGAUGAAGCUGAUAGAAGAGGAAAAGUAUAUGAUAAAUAUAUGUGCAGUUUUCUAUUUAAUUUGAAUAAUGAUUUUGUUGUUGAUGCAACACGUAAAGGCAAUAAAAUAAGAUUUGCAAAUCAUUCAAUUAAUCCAAAUUGUUAUGCCAAAGUCAUGAUGGUUAAUGGAGAUCACAGAAUUGGUAUAUUUGCCAAAAGAGCAAUACAACCUGGUGAAGAAUUAUUUUUCGAUUACAGAUAUGGACCAACUGAGCAACUUAAAUUCGUUGGAAUUGAACGUGAAAUGGAAUUUUUAUAAGCAUGAGUAAGAAAAAAACAUUGAAAAAUCAUCAAAAUCAUGUAAAUAUAAAUAAUCAAUCAAAUUGACUAAUUUUUUUGCUUUUUUUUUCUACAAAAAUGUAUCGAAAUUAUUUAUACAAAACAAAAAUUGUGUGAUGUUAAUUCAUCAAAAAAAAAUUACGAAUAAUUUAAAAAAAAAAAAAAAAAUGUUAAUUCAAAAUGAAAUAAUAAUUAAGUAUAAUUAAUUAAUCAUUUUUUUUUUUUUAAAUUAUACAAAUCUAUUUACCCAAAAACAAACAGAAAAAAAUUAAGUGCCGUUAAAUUAUCAAAUAGUUAUUAAUUUAAAAAAAAUGAUAAUAAUAAUAAUUGUAUCUACUUGAGUCGUGUAGAGUAAAAUAAUAAUUAAUUAGUUAAUUAGGCUAGUUGCUGCAUGUAUAUACAGCAUUGUUAUCUUUUAUUUUUACUCUAAUUUUUUACUCUUUAAAAUACUUAGUGUUUUUAAACGACUAAACACGAAUAAAUAAAAAAGAAAAUAUUAUUUGAUGAAAUAAAUUUUUUAACAUUAGAAUUUAGUUGAAAAAUAAACUUUCAAAGAAAAAAUAAAUUACCCAGUGGUAACAUUGUGUAAGCCAAGUUUUCCCUUUAUAUUAUCAUUAUCUUUUUUUUUUUUUUUUCUAUUUUAUUUUACUGUAUAGCCUUAUUUUCGUACACACUCAUACGUUUUGUGUAGUUGAGCUUCCACUGAAAAGCUUACACGCAGCUUCUGCCACCAGUUGCAGACAUCGCGCCAACGUGAACGCGCGAUUCUCUUACAAUUUUAUCGUAACAUUGAAAAUUGUAUCUACUAAAUUACCAUCAUCAAUGAAUAGCUAUUUUAACUAGAUUAAAAAAAAAACUAAUUAAUAUUUUUUAAAGUUACCAGGAAUAAAAUUCUAUGGAAAUUUGUUUUUUUAUUUUUUUGUUUAUAAAAGUACUUGUUUAAGAAUUUUUUUUUUGCACGUGAAAAGUGUAACUGUAAGAGUGUUUUUGUAAAUUUAUUUUAAAUAUAUUUGUCAUUUUAUAUAUUUAUUAUUCUUUUUUAGAUUUAUUUCAAAAACUACGUGUGUUUAGAUGAGAAAGUCGGUCAACAGACGAAUAAUUAUUGCCUGACAUGCAGUUAUAAUAAUGAUGAUGAUGAUGAUGUAUUACAUGAUUGAGAGUGAAAGAAAAAUAUGAGAAGAAAAGACAACAAGAUAACGAGUAAAUACUGUAAUCAACAAAGGUAAACGGGGAAAAACACAAAACUCAUGAAAGUUUGGAAAUUGAUCACGU